GUGAAAUCGUUUUCCCGGCAGUGACUGUGUGCAACACGAACCCUGUGCGAAAGUCGCAAAUCAAAGACUCGUCACACUUUAUACUAGCUGACCUGGAGCAAUACUCACAAGGAUUGCAGUAUUACGCUCCCUGUAAAGCUUUGGAUUUUGAAUGCACCAACGAAAGAUGUGUUAAAGAUUUCAAGGUAUGCAAUGGUGUUGACGACUGUGGCGAUCGGUCGGACGAGCAGGAUUGCAUUGCCCCUGUGUGUGAUGCCGCAUCUUUUACUUGCAUUGAAGGAAGCGAGCAAGGAUUUUGUAUCCCAGUCGCCUUAAGAUGUGACAGGGCUGGCGACUGCUACGAUGGUUCUGAUGAAUCCAUAUGUCAAGCGUCUGAUA